rnacentral:rRNA from 1 species
AUACGGCUCAGUAACACGUAGUCAACCUGCCCUAGAGACAUGAAUAACCCCGGGAAACUGGGAUUAAUACAUGAUAGAUCAUCUCAUCUGGAAGGAGAGAUGGUUUAAAGGGGUGCGCGAGCUUCUUUUGUGCAUCCGCUCUAGGAUGGGACUGCGGCCGAUCAGGCUGUUGGUGGGGUAAUGGCCCACCAAACCUGUAACCGGUACGGGCCUUGAGAGAGGGGGCCCGGAGAUGGACACUGAGAGAAGGGUCCAGGUCCUACGGGGCGCAGCAGGCGCGAAACCUUCGCAAUGCGCGAAAGCGUGACGAGGUUAAUCCGAGUGGUUCCCGCUGAGGGAAUCUUUUGUGGCUCUAAAAUGGCCAGUGAAUAAGGGGAGGGCAAGUCUGGUGUCAGCCGCCGCGGUAAUACCAGCUCCUCGAGUGGUCGGGGCGAUUAUUGGGCCUAAAGCAUCCGUAGCCUGUUCUGUAGGUCUUCUGUUAAAUCCAACGGCUUAACCGUUGGCCUGCAGAAGAUACCGCAGGACUAGGAGGCGGGAGAGGUGGACGGUACUCCACGUGUAGGGGUAAAAUCCUUUGAUCCGUGGAAGACCACCAGUGGCGAAGGCGGUCCACCAGAACGCGCUCGACGGUGAGGGAUGAAAGCUGGGGGAGCGAACCGGAUUAGAUACCCGGGUAGUCCCAGCCGUAAACGAUGCGAGCUAGAUGAUCCAAUCGCAAAUCGCGAUUGGAGUGUCGCAGGGAA